ensembl:snRNA U6 U6 spliceosomal RNA
AUUGCAUUGGCAGCACAUUUAUACUAAAAUUGGAAUGAUACAGGGAAGAUUAGCAUGGCUCCUGGGCAAGGAUGACACACAAAUUCAUGAAGUGUUCCAUAUUUUU